rnacentral:rRNA from 1 species
UACGGAGGGUGCGAGCGUUGUCCGGAAUCACUGGGCGUAAAGAGCUCGUAGGCGGUCUGUCGCGUCGGAUGUGAAAGCCCGGGGCUUAACCCCGGGUCUGCAUUCGAUACGGGCAGACUAGAGUGUGGUAGGGGAGAUCGGAAUUCCUGGUGUAGCGGUGAAAUGCGCAGAUAUCAGGAGGAACACCGGUGGCGAAGGCGGAUCUCUGGGCCAUUACUGACGCUGAGGAGCGAAAGCGUGGGGAGCGAACAGG